AUACGGAGGAUCCGAGCGUUAUCCGGAUUUAUUGGGUUUAAAGGGUGCGCAGGCGGGAGAUUAAGUCGGCGGUGAAAUUUUUCAGCUCAACUGUAAAAGUGCCUUCGAAACUGGGUUUCUUGAGUGUAGAUGAAGUAGGCGGAAUUUGUGGGGUAGCGGUGGAAUGCAUAGAUAUCACGAGGAACUCCGAUUGCGCAGGCAGCUUACUAAACUACUACUGACGCUCAGGCACGAAGGCGUGGGGAUCAAACAGGAUUAGAUACCCUGGUAGUCCACGCAGUAAACGAUGAUUACUAGCUGUUUGCGAUACAAUGUAAGCGGCUGAGCGAAAGCGUUAAGUAAUCCACCUGGGGAGUACGUUCGCAAGAAUGAAACUCAAAGGAAUUGACGGGG
rnacentral:rRNA from 1 species